rnacentral:misc_RNA from 1 species
GAACAGUUAAUUGGUAAGCCUUCCAUUUGGCUUUCAUCUUCCACCAUUUGUUCGAUAAAUGUGCUCACUUGGGAACUAGCUUUGGCUGUGUUAGACUGCCUUAUAGGUUCUAGUGUUGGUCGGUGCCACCUCUUUGUAUCCCAAAGUAUCGUACUAUUGAAUGCAAAUCCCGAUAUUUCUGCAUAGAAUCUCUGGAAUCUUUUUGUUCUACCUUCAGUAUGCCAACCUAUAACCUGAGAGCCGUUACAGAUUGGACCCUGCAAGAUAACUUUCCUAUUAUUUUCAGCUAGUCUUGCCACAAUCCAUGUCCCGAUCCGGCUGAUCUGUCUCAUCUGCUCGAAGACAUCAGCGGAGUAUAUGUUGUACUCAUCAGCAAAAUAGACGAUGCCAUCAAGGUGGUGUGUUUCAAUGUGAGAGAGUGCCACAUUCCUUAGAUGCACAUUUUUCUCUUUCACAUCAGUUAAGUUCUUGCUGCACACAAGAUGUCUGUACAUUACUCCGGUUCUUCUCAAUAUAUCAGCAGUUUCAACAGAUUGGGAGUCCAUCUCAACAACUAUCCAUAAUAAAGGAGAAGGCACCAACUCUAAUGCAUACGCCAGACGAUUUAGAUAGUAUGCUUGAAAUGGACGGGUUUCUGUAGGAGUCACAAUAAUCAAAAGUUUACGGGACACUAUCGGAUCUUGGUCAAGUAAUUGAUUAAAGGAGGCAUUGUAGGUAAUGUCUUCUUUCAGUUCAACAUGUACUAAAUUAGGCUCUGAUGUCGAAUUAUCCAUGAUAGUCAAGUCCUCAGUGGUUGAAGUCACAUUUCUAGAUACAUCAUAUGAUCGAGCAUUUUCUUCUGGCUGGAGGACCUCAAAGGAUAAAGCUUGAUGUUUAGAGAUAAAAUUUGUUGACAAAUUUAGUAAUGGAGUAAGGCCAAUAAAUACUCCAAGAACAAAACAGAAAAAGAAUUG